AAAGAGGACAUUUCCCACACCACCUCAUCCAUUUCACACCAUUCACAUGGACUUUAUUGAACUAAGUGAAAGUCAAGGCUCGAAAUACGCUCUAGUGAUUAUAGACGUAUUUUCAAAAUGGCCAGAGAUUUAUCCAGUGAAAAAAGCAGAUGCAAUCUCAGUUGCAAAAUGUUUAUGCAAUCAUUUCAUUCCAACAUUCGUUAGCUUCAUAGCAUAAGUGCCUAAGUGCCUAACACAAAAACAUGACUUAGGCAAUUAUGCUAUGAAGCUAACGGUAUUCCUAGUCUGAUAAGAUCAGAUAAUGGGACACAUUUUGUCAAUGAUGUGAUUAGUAAAGUCUCUGAAGCACUAGGAUUCAGCAUAAAAAACCAUUGUGCUUAUCAUCCACAAAGUGCAGGGUUGGUAGAGAGAACUAACGGCACAAUAAAACAGAGACUCAGAAAAUGCAUGGCAGAAACAGGAAGACCAUGGCCUGAAUGCAUAGGCCUAGUAAAAAUGUGGAUGAGAUUAACACAAGGCUCUCAAAAACUGACACCUUUUGAGGUUGUUCAUGGGAGACCUUUUCCACUGCCAGUGACAAGCGAACCUUUAGAAAAAUCCGUCAGAGAAACAACCCUGGCAGAAUGGAUGGCAAAACUACUAGAAAAUAAGGAUAUUGUUUUGAACAGUAAACUGCCGUAUGAAUCUUCUCCAGUCUCUUGCAGGUUGAAACCAGGCGAUUGGAUCCUGUUACGGGUGCUCCAGAGGAAAAAUUGGAGUAUGCCUCGCUGGGAGGGUCCAUACCAAGUGUUAUUGACAACACCCACAGCCUGUAAAAUUGCAGAGAGACCCUCCUGGAUACAUCAGAGCCACUGCAAAAAGGUUGAGGUCCCGGGAAGCCCCAUCACUAAGGAGGAAGCACAUUAGGAAGGCCUCACCUACGUUUGGUUGCUUCGGGGGUGAGGGGGGGUAGUGCGAUUGGGCCCCCGUUGGGUAAGCCUGCACUCCACCCUCUAUCCGAUCAACUUUAGGGCAGCCAGGUGCAGGUGUGAUGGACCUAUGUGCAACAAUGUGAAGGGGAAGCCUCCUGGUUACCUUGACUACAAAAGCUCACCCUUACAGGAUCCCAGUUGAUGCCAAUAGCAGCCGAGGCACAAGGCAGACAGAGAAGAUGGACGCACGACAGCUUACACCUAAUGGACAUGACACAAGAUCACAUCCAUCCUUGGAUGAAAGGUGACUGAUACAGAUAUGUGUUUAACAAAACCACAGAGAAAGACUGUUAUGUUUGCUCGCACAUGCCGAGCAUAUUAACACAACCAUGUAUGAGAAACACCCUGGAACAAGUGCACCAAAUCUGAUCUAAUGACUUUUGUAAGGUGCACAACAUCAUCAACAUCCUGAUCCAGGAAGAAGCCCUGAACUUUAACAAGUUUUAAAGAGACUGUUGAUCGUCAUUGAAUUUUUCUUGAUUUUAUUUUGCUUUACUUAUGUUAUUCUUUGUUUGAAGCUGUAAUUUCACAGAUGAUAAGUUUGUCAUUCACAGCAUACGCAGAUAUACCAAAACCAGUGAAGACUUCUUUUCCUAUUUUUCAGAUGAAGAUGAAGUGUAACUAAUGAUGUGGUAACUGAGAAUGUGAAAGACAAGUAGUUACUCACUGAUGAAUUGUACAUUUCACUUCGUGAUCAACAGGAGGGAAUGUUAAGAGAAUAUUGUAUAAUAUGAUCAGCUAUAUGAAAUGUAUCUUUUUAUAUUAUUAUUAAGCACAUGUUUAAAUGACUUUUUACCUAGUAACUUGUGUGAUGAACCGAUGCAGCUACUAACCGCUUCCUGUCUUCAGAGAACAUUUAGAUGUAGAAAAGGGAAAGUCCCGCUACUGGAGUGAUGAUGUUAUCUAUGUAACAAACACACAUACACACACACACACACACACACACACACACACACACACACACACACACACACACAAUACAGACAAUGUUGUAUAAAUAAAUGUCGCAGGCAGUCGUGGGGCGCAGUUCGUGCGUUCUACGACUGCCCCUCGCGAGUGAAAAACUUCUGCAGUGUUUGUGUGUUUUCUGACUCAGACGUCUCAACUGAAGAACGGCAGGGUGAUUUAAAGAAAUCCCCUGUCACCUGGCGUCCUGGCUCCCCCUUGACGUAGCAUGUGUCUUGUACCUCGUCAGUCUGUGGCAGUGGGAGGAGUCGCUUCUGUCAAAUGUUGGAACACUGAGCUACUAGUUGUUUCAUCGUUAGUGUGGAUGUUGGGUAUGGAAGAGUCCACAGGUCCCUCAUCCUAUUCAUGUAACCCUUCCGCUGCAUAGUUGCAUUCCAACAACGCGCUAUUGUCCUCUGUUGCCCACUGAUGACUUCUUGUUCCAGUAGCUCACUUCUCAUAGCAUACAGCGUCUGUCUGUCUUUGAAACCAUCAUUUUAAUGAACUGACACUUUGAUAUGAUAUGUGGUACAGCUGGGUCGUGGGUACAGACUACUGCUUUUUAUAUAAUACUAAUAAUAAUAUUAACAAUACAUUUAAUUGUUGGUGCCUUCCACAAUACUCAGGGUGGCAUUUUUAUUACAGUGUCCAAUUUUACGAAAAAGUAUGUGUGAACAUCUCUGUGACACAAUUUGACUGUUGGUCAGUAUAUAUCAAUAAAUGGAUUUUAAGAAAAAUUCUCAGUCUGAGCAUCUGUG
ensembl:lncRNA